rfam:Monosiga brevicollis mitochondrion, complete genome.
GUUUGGGUAGCUUAAAAGGUCAAAGCUUAUCCCUGAAAAGGAUAGGAAGUAAGUUCGAUUCUUACCCCGGACA